rnacentral:rRNA from 1 species
ACGGGAGGCAGCAGUGAGGAAUAUUGGUCAAUGGGCGGAAGCCUGAACCAGCCAAGUCGCGUGAGGGAAGAAGGUCCUACGGAUUGUAAACCUCUUUAGCCGGGGAGCAAUAAGCGCUAUGUAUAGCGUGAUGAGAGUACCCGGAGAAUAAGGAUCGGCUAACUCCGUGCCAGCAGCCGCGGUAAUACGGAGGAUCCGAGCGUUAUCCGGAUUUAUUGGGUUUAAAGGGUGCGCAGGCGGCUUUUUAAGUCAGUGGUUAAAUCGUGACGCUCAACGUCAUCACGCCAUUGAUACUGGAGAGCUUGAUUGCGGUCGAGGUUUGCGGAAUUCGUUGUGUAGCGGUGAAAUGCAUAGAUAUGACGAAGAACACCGAUUGCGUAGGCAGCAGACCAGGCCGUAAAUGACGCUCAUGCACGAAAGUGCGGGGAUCGAACAGGAUUAGAUACCCUGGUA